UACGGAGGGUGCAAGCAUUAAUCGGAUUUAUUGGGCGUAAAGGGCGCGUAGGCGGAAAGACAAGUCAGAUGUGAAAUCCCGGGGCUCAACCUCGGAACUGCAUUUGAAACUGUCUUCCUAGAGGGUAGGCGGAGAAAACGGAAUUCCACAAGUAGCGGUGAAAUGCGUAGAUAUGUGGAAGAACACCGGUGGCGAAGGCGGUUUUCUAGCUUAUUCCUGACGCUGAGGCGCGAAAGCAAGGGGAUCAAAC
rnacentral:rRNA from 1 species